UACGGAGGAUGCGAGCGUUAUCCGGAUUUAUUGGGUUUAAAGGGUGCGUAGGCGGGAUGCCAAGUCAGCGGUAAAAAUGCGGUGCUCAACGCCGUCGAGCCGUUGAAACUGGCGUUCUUGAGUGGGCGAGAAGUAUGCGGAAUGCGUGGUGUAGCGGUGAAAUGCAUAGAUAUCACGCAGAACUCCGAUAGCGAAGGCAGCUUACCAGACUGCGACUGACGCUGAAGCACGAGAGCGUGGGUAGCGAACAGG
rnacentral:rRNA from 1 species